AAAGUUAGCCUUGGCUUCCCCCCAUCUAAAAUAAUAAUUAGACCGCCAUGGAGACUAGCUCAUUAAUAUUUGUACGAAGUGUUGAAAAAUGCAAUGUUCUGUAAAAAUGGCUAAGGAUUACUCAUCCAGAACAGUAACGGAAAUGAGUGGUAGUUUAAGUUUUUAAAGACAGACUCGGGUAUUAAGUGGUGAAUGUCCUGAGCAGUGCCAGCAGCAGGCAGAGGCUGAGGGCUGGGUGCAGGGAGGGCUGUGCUGAUGCCUUUCUCGGCUGCCUGCAGAGAUGGGGAGCUCGGGCAGCCCCUGCCCCAUCACCACUAGCCCAUCCUGCCCCACAAUUUCAGUCGUAGCUUCUUGGACAGUCGCCACCCAACUUAAAUUAGGAUUUGGCUUUUCUCUCACUGUACCUGAGGGAGGGAUGGCAAACAAGGAAAGGGCAAAGGAUGCAAGCUGGAGAGCAAAAAGCCUUCCAGUGGUACACCUUAGAUAUCCUUCUGCCUGCUUGCCACAAAGACUGUGAUGGCUCAGUAGAACCAGAAGAUAGGUGAAGGGUCUGAAAGAUGACGGAAAGGGUGAAAUUCAUACAACUGUGGAAGGCAGCCUCUAAGGAAAGGUGCCCAAAUUUUUCUGUGUAUAAUCCACUUUUAGCUUUCAGAUUAAGAUACCAAGGCAACUUCUCAAACAGCCUUCCACAGCUCAGAUUUGGGGCAUUUUCAAGGGCAAGGAUAUCUGCAGCAGACACACAUCAGCCGGUGAUUUCGUCCUCUUUCAGCAAUUGCAUGGGUUCUAUUGCAGGCCAUCAUGAGGGUAUCAAACUGGCACUGUUUUCCUUGGACUUUGUCAUUUGUAAGGGACUAAUUGGGAAUCUUGAAUGCGGCACAGUGGUUAAAGAGGAGUUGCCAGGAAAAUCAGAUGUGAAUACCUGGGAAGAACUCGAUUUCAUCGGACGUGCCAUCAGAAACCAUCUACCCCGCUGCGUAUUUCCUCCCUGAAGGAAACGAUGAAACUGAAGCUGGGUGUCUGGCACGCCGGAGUUGCAUUGUGCAUGCUGUUGGUUU
rnacentral:lncRNA from 1 species